rnacentral:rRNA from 1 species
AGAGUUUGAUCCUGGCUCAGAACGAACGCUGGCGGCGCGUCUUAAGCAUGCAAGUCGAACGGCAAGAGAGGAGCUUGCUUCUCUCCUAGAGUGGCGGACUGGUGAGGAACACGUGGGUAAUCUACCCUUAAGAUGGGGAUAGCUGCUAGAAAUAGCAGGUAAUACCGAAUAGUCUCAAUGGUUCAUAAGAAGUAUUGAGGAAAGGAAGCUACGGCUUCGCUUGAGGAUGAGCUUGCGUCCCAUUAGCUAGUUGGUGAGGUAAAGGCCCACCAAGGCGACGAUGGGUAUCCGGCCUGAGAGGGUGAUCGGCCACAUUGGGACUGAGAUACGGCCCAAACUCCUACGGGAGGCAGCAGCUAAGAAUAUUCCGCAAUGGACGGAAGUCUGACGGAGCGACGCCGCGUGGAUGAAGAAGGCUGAAAAGUUGUAAAAUCCUUUUGUUGAUGAAGAAUAAGGGUGAGAGGGAAUGCUCAUCUGAUGACGGUAAUCGACGAAUAAGCCCCGGCUAAUUACGUGCCAGCAGCCGCGGUAAUACGUAAGGGGCGAGCGUUGUUCGGAAUUAUUGGGCGUAAAGGGCAUGUAGGCGGUUAUGUAAGCCUGAUGUGAAAUCCUGGGGCUUAACCCCAGAAUAGCAUUGGGUACUGCACGACUUGAAUUACGGAAGGGAAACUGGAAUUCCAAGUGUAGGGGUGGAAUCUGUAGAUAUUUGGAAGAACACCGGUGGCGAAGGCGGGUUUCUGGCCGAUAAUUGACGCUGAGAUGCGAAAGUGUGGGGAUCGAACAGGAUUAGAUACCCUGGUAGUCCACACCGUAAACGAUGUACACUAGGUGU